AGAUGUGAGGGCGAUCUGGCUGCGACAUCUGUCACCCCAUUGAUCGCCAGGGUUGAUUCGGCUUAUCUGGCUGGCUAGGCGGGUGUCCCCUUCCUCCCUCACCGCUCCAUGUGUGUCCCUCCCGAAGCUGCGCGCUCGGUCGAAGAGGACGACCUUCCCCGCUAGAGGAGGACCGGUCUUCGGUCAAGGGUAUACGAGUAGCUGCGCUCCCCUGCUAGAACCUCCAAACAAGCUCUCAAGGUCCAUUUAUAUGGUAACUUUUCAAUUUCUUCAUGUAAGCACCAAUUGCUAUAAAAUCCCUUCUUAACACUAUUUUUGUUGUAUACUGUAAGUUUUG
rnacentral:snRNA from 1 species